rnacentral:rRNA from 1 species
UGGGGAAUUUUGGACAAUGGGCGAAAGCCUGAUCCAGCAAUGCCGCGUGUGUGAAGAAGGCCUUCGGGUUGUAAAGCACUUUUGUCCGGAAAGAAAUCCUUGGCUCUAAUACAGUCGGGGGAUGACGGUACCGGAAGAAUAAGCACCGGCUAACUACGUGCCAGCAGCCGCGGUAAUACGUAGGGUGCGAGCGUUAAUCGGAAUUACUGGGCGUAAAGCGUGCGCAGGCGGUUUGCUAAGACCGAUGUGAAAUCCCCGGGCUCAACCUGGGAACUGCAUUGGUGACUGGCAGGCUAGAGUAUGGCAGAGGGGGGUAGAAUUCCACGUGUAGCAGUGAAAUGCGUAGAGAUGUGGAGGAAUACCGAUGGCGAAGGCAGCCCCCUGGGCCAAUACUGACGCUCAUGCACGAAAGCGUGGGGAGCAAACAGGAUUAGAUACCCUGGUAGUCCACGCCCUAAACGAUGUCAACUAGUUGUUGGGGAUUCAUUUCCUAAUACGUAGCUAACGCGUGAAGUUGACCGCCUGGGGAGUACGGUCGCAAGAUU